rnacentral:lncRNA from 1 species
UUAUUAUUAUUAUUAUUAUUAUUAUUAUUAUUAUUAUUAUAUGUAAGAAGUUAAUAUUAUUGUCAUCAUCAUCUGUGGGACCUAACUGCUUUGGAUUUAUCCUUUUGUGGUGCAACAUAAAAGCAUUAUUAAUGUUAUCAUCAUUAUUAUUUGCACCCCUGCAGCCUAUUAAUAAAGGGUGCAUCCAUUUGUUUUGUGAUGUAACAAAAGAAUUAUACAUGAGAUUUUUUUGUAUUUUUUAAACUUUUUUUUUAUGAAGAAUAUUUGCAUUCUUCCCCCUUUACAUGAGCAUAUGUUGUACUUCUUCCCUCUCAACUUUUUGGCCACUUCUCUUUACCUAAAGUCUCUUGAUUUUUCACUCAGUCAGCUUUUCAGAACUGGUUAUGGUAUCUGAAACUUGUAGUAAAGGAAGUUGAUUCUCUCCUUGUUUGCCAUUGUGGGUUUAAUUUUGGCAACUUUUGAUGUGAAGUUGAAACACUGCUAUAGAAGUGGGGGAAUAAGAUAAAGAAGAAAAAAAAGAAAGAAAAAAAGGAGAAAUGUAACUUAAACCAUCAUUACUAAAUUCAUACUAACAUUAUCUCUAACCAAAAGUUGGUUCCAGCAUGAAGCCUACUUUUGGUUUGUUUCCUCCAGAUUAAGGUUAUAAGGAAAAACACUGCUCUAUUUUUUGUAUGUAUUUUUCUGUAUAUUUUCAACAUCAAUAAUUUAUCAAUGUAGACAAAUCACUAAUGCAACAUGUCUCAUAAAAUCAGGAUCUGCAUCUAAUUACAAUGAAUUACAAACUUUUUUUACAAACUAUGAUAACUGGUGUUUUCUAAGUACUUCAUCUGUUGCAUCAUUGAGCACCAACAGGUGAACAUGCACAUCAAAGUGAUACACUAGUAUAAAGAGAAAAUAACAAAAAGAAUCCAGAAAGAAAAAAAAAAGAGAACUUGUUUGUUUAUUUUUUAAUUGCCUUUCUUCUGCUUAAAAAUGUGAUAGGUUGACUGCCUCACUUUUUCUUUUUAUAUUUUAAAAAGUGUUUUAAUUAAAACAUUUUUUUUAAAAGUUCCAUAACCAGUUUUUAGAAGUAUGUGCUGGGAAGAGGAGCAAGAGAUGUUUGAAGCUCUAUUUGCUCCACUCUCUUAAUACCUAGUUCCCAUACUGGGCUCUACUGUUGCUCUCCUUCAAUACCAAGAUUCUGAAAGAAAAUUAAUAUUCUUCCAUAACCCACAUUUUAAUGCCCCUUCCCAAUGUUGUUCAUCUUGUUGUUGUUGUAAACUGAGCUUUCUUUGUGAUCCCUAAUGCUGAUGGCUCAUAAUGCAUUCAACUACACAAUCCUUUAAGUGGUAAAGCGUUCCCGAAUGUUUCUUUUUUUAUUUUCUGCUUAAACAUGAACAUAAAAAAAAACAUAGACAAAAAUAAGCUAUAGAUUAGUUGUUGUUUUUUUUUACUUUCAGUAUCCGCAUUAUAUCAAAUUGAACAUUAUAAUAGAUUAAUUUCUUAUCUAUAUUUAACUGCUGUUAAUAUUUUAUCUACUACAUUAAAAAAAAAUUUUUUAUCUUUUUUAAUGAACUCACUGAUGUGUAACAUCUUAUGAAAUGACACUAUUAUUUAAUACACUGCUAUUGAAUGUCAGAAGUUGAUUAUAUUUGUUUGUGAGAAUCAACUAAUAGAGACCAAGCACAUACAUUGUAUUAAAGAAUUUUGGCAUUGUUACAUUGGUUAAUAUAAGUUUUAUAUUUGGUUCAAGUUUUUGUUUUUAUAUAAUAUUACACUUCAUGUUUGGAUAACAAAAUUUAUAAGCUAAGAUAAGUUUAUGUGCCAUAUGAGUUCUGACAUUCUGAGCAGAGUUAUUGUCAGUGUAGAAUCAUGACUAAUCUCCUUGGUUCCUAGUCAAAAAAAUUUUUUUGUUUAAUUAGAUGGUUGACACCUCAUUUACAAUGUUUUAUUCCAAUUGAGAAAUCUUGUUUCUGCUCCACCAGGUUUAACUCUACUUAAUUAACAGACAUUAUUCAAGGAAUGUGGCAUAUGCAAAUCUACAAACUUAGGUUUCAGUAAUGCAACAGUUUAUAAUAAUAAUAAUAAUAAUAAUAAUAAUAAUUGGAUAUCAGCAUGUAAGAAUUUCAUUUGCCUCAUAGUUUCAUAGUGGUCAUUCAACUUCAUUAUUUGGAAGUAUUGUAUCAUAUCGGUGUAAUGAUAUUCAGCAUAGCCACAACUCAUUGGCUGGAACCAGUAAAGGAAUAGUAUAAGUUAGGAAGUAGAGAGGGUUUUCUUCAUAUGUACUACUAAUAUCCUUUUAGAAAGAGGCUUGGACAUUGCAAUGUCUCACUUCUUUCAACUGUAGAAUUGUGAUCUUGUGCCUAAGAAAUCAGUUUUGAAGGAUUUUAUGUUGGCCAAAUAAGUCACUCAUUAACUUUUGUACUGGCAAACCUUUUUAACUUCCCAAUCAGAAAAAUAAGAUUUUCAAUUCUUUUUAAAACACGAUCUAGAAUUUUCCUUUUCACCACGAGGUAUAUAUAUAUAUAUAUAUACAUACAUAUGUUACAGAAGUAAUUUAGUUCUGAUGUCAAAUGUUGUAGUGUUAACUCAUUAAGUAUGUUCUCUAAUCAUAGAAACUGUUUAUACACUGCCUCCAUUCUAUUUUCAUAGAUUCCCUUUAACAUUUGAAGGACUGUGAAGAUUGUUAUUAUGUAAUCAUUGUCAUACACUCAUUAUCAUUGUAUAUAACAUCAGUAUCUUUGUUACUGAUUAUUCUUGUAGGCAGACUGAAAGACUAAUUGUUGGGAAGCUUCAAAGCUUUUAUCAGUUAUGUAUUUUUUUUUUGGUGUGUGUGUCUGAAAGAGAGAGAGAGAUAGAGAGAGAGAGAAAUUAAAUUUAUACAUUUCAAUACAAAACAUUUUGUCAAGUUUGAAAGGUGACACAUAUGUAAAGAACUUUUCCUUUUCUAAAAAAUUAAUCUGUUGCCAGUGCAGACUUUUUGUUGAAUGUGUGCAAUGUUUAAGGCUGAAAACUGUUUAUAGAUGAGGAUAUAUUUGUUGUCAAAUUGCUACUGCUUCAACCACCACCACCGCUACCACCACCACUACUACUACUACUACUACUACUACAAAAUUAUAAAAAUUUUCCUUUUACACUUGCUACAAGGAAGAUAGCUUUUGUGUUGAUAGCCCAUUACUCUUUACACUCAGUAUAGCAUAAAGUAAUUUACACCUGAGUGUUGCAGUGAUUGUGUGGAGAAACCAUUGGACUUUUCGCUCUUAUCCCUCAUAUUUUGCUGCAAGAGUUAUCAUUAUCGUCUGCUGACAAGACACCUAACUAAUAGGUACAUAAAGCUUUUAGGGUUUUUUUCUCUUAUUGCUAUACUAUUAAGGUAAUACUAUUAUUGGUAAUAGUGAUCAAUUGCUGCACUAAAUACUUAUUACUCUUGCCUAACCUGGUUCUACAAUCAAACACUGCUGGAAUUCGCUUCACUUUUUAAUUCUCUGUGAUCUGUUUAUUAAAUAAGUAGUGGUGGUUAUAAUUUGCUUAAGCAGUUUACUUCAUGGUAUUCCUUCAUAAAAUUUUGUGACUUUAUUAUUAUUUUUUUUUUUGGUGGGAGUGGUCGUGGGGCAACCGAAAACAUAACGUUAUUAGUUUGUUACUUUUCAUUUGCUUUGGAUUCAAUUUAGAUAAAGGAAUUAGAUGUUAAAUUAGUUUUGUGUUUUCUUAAACACUGUAGGAUAAACUGCAAAGCAUGUGCACACACACUCACUCACGUAUAUAUAUAACUUAUUGUUCCGUUAAGCCUAAGGUCAACAAAAAAGUACUCCAUGCAGUGAAGAUUAGUAUCAUUUUAUGUACACUGUAUAAAGAUACCAGCUACUGAAAGUUUCUUGCUUCAGAGAUGCAGGUGUAGGCAGGUUUUUAUAACACGCCUUGUGUCUUCAAGCAAUCUCUAACUCUGAGCACGUGUUCUGUUCAAUUUGUAUAUCAGGAUGCUGAUACAAGAGAAAUCACGAGCAAAAAAAAAAACAGCAGAAGCUACAUGUAAAGAGUGAAAGUGAGAAUAAACACGGAAAAAGAAAAGAAAAAUAGAAAAUUAGAGUUAUUUCCCCUUCGACUGUAAAGCCAUAAUUAAGCUUGUAGAAUAAAUAGUACAACGAGGGGGUCCAGGGUAGAAUAAUUCAAUACAACUGUCUUGCAGACUUUAGACACACGCACACACACACGUGUGUAUAUAUAUAUAUAUAUAUAUAUAUACUGCUACUCAACAUGUGUAUAUUCUAGGUCAGUUGAAAUUUAGGUCUUCAAAUUGCAAUGUUGAUAAAUUCUUUUAACAACAGUCUACACAUUAAAAUGGCAACUUCAGGUCUGGCUAUGUUAUAUUAAUCUUUAUCAUCUUAUAUAUAUAUAUAUAUAUAUUGUGUGUGUAUGUGUGUGUGUUUCCAUUGCUCUCUCUCUCUCUUUCUCUCUCCCUUGCGUGCUGAAAGUUGCUUUUUGAUGGUUGGCAUUUUUUUUCGUUUUUGUUAACCAACUGUAUAACUGGAACUGAUUGUGAGGAUGUUUGUACUAGAGUGGUUGUGACCGUCUACAUCAUGUUAAUGAUAUGCAUUAAGCUUUAUAGCGCCAAUGUGAAUAUGAAGAAAACAUUAAGAAAAUGUAAAAAAGCUAAAAUAUAAAAAAGAAUAAAAACUUCAAACUAUGAAAAGAUUGGACAAAAAAAAAAAGAAAGAAAAGAAAAAGAAAAGAAAGAAAAUAUCAAAAGAUGUGUAUGUUUGCCUAGAUGUGCAAUCUGUCAUAUCUGUAAGAGUUCAUCACUUGAAAGCUGGGUAUUUGAAGCUGUGCAGUACAUUUCUUUGAGAAGUUUUGUAUUGUUGACAGAAGCAAGUUACCAGCCACUAAACACAAAUUGAUACUGUGAAAAAACAGUAGUUUUGGUGGUGCCACUAAAGAGAAAGACUGAUAAAGUUUCCUACAAAAAAAAGCUGGAUGCAGGAGGUUGUAAUCUCUUGCUAAACAUCAAUUCUUUACCAUUGUCCAGUGGCCCUUUUCCCAUCUCCACCCUCACUACUGAUCCCCCUCCCCCAUGCCCCCUCCACCUCUCUUGCUUUACUCUCUUCACAAAUGUGUUCAUAGCAGAUUGUAAGCUGGGCUGCAUAUUUUCUUCGUCCACUUGUUCUCUAGAUCUAAAUUUUAAUAAUCCAUACCAAUUCUGAAUAACCAUCACAUUAGUGAGCAGGCGAAGCUACUUUACCUGCCUGUAUGAUGUAUUAUAUCACUCAAAUCUUCUAGGAAAUACUGAAUAAAUGAUUUUAGCAAUUUGUACCAAA